rnacentral:rRNA from 1 species
UACGGGGGGAGCAAGCGUUGUUCGGAUUUACUGGGCGUAAAGGGCGCGUAGGCGGCCACCGCAAGUCGACUGUGAAAUCUCCGGGCUUAACCCGGAAAGGUCGGCCGAUACUGCGGGGCUAGAGUGCAGAAGGGGCAACUGGAAUUCUCGGUGUAGCGGUGAAAUGCGUAGAGAUCGGGAAGAACAUCGGUGGCGAAAGCGCUCUACUGGACCGCAACUGACACUCAGGGACGAAAGCUAGGGGAGCGAAUGGG